rnacentral:rRNA from 1 species
UUCGAUUGUGCCAGCAGCCGCGGUAAGACGGAGGAGGCAAGCGUUAUCCGGAAUUAUUGGGCGUAAAGCGUCCGCAGGUGGCUUCUCAAGUCUGCUGUCAAAGCCCAGGGCUCAACUCUGGAUAGGCAGUGGAAACUGGGUCGCUAGAGUACGGUAGGGGUAGAGGGAAUUCCCGGUGUAGCGGUGAAAUGCGUAGAUAUCGGGAAGAACACCAGUGGCGAAGGCGCUCUACUGGACCGUAACUGACACUCAUGGACGAAAGCUAGAGGAGCGAAAGGGAUUAGAUACCCCUGUAGUCCUAGCCGUAAACGAUGGAAACUAGGUGUUGCCCGUAUCGACCCGGGCAGUGCCGUAGCCAACGCGUUAAGUUUCCCGCCUGGGGAGUACGCACG